AGUGACGAUAGCCUAGGAGAUACACCUGUACCCAUGCCGAACACAGAAGUUAAG
rnacentral:rRNA from 1 species